UACGAAGGGGGCUAGCGUUGCUCGGAAUCACUGGGCGUAAAGGGUGCGUAGGCGGGUCUUUAAGUCAGGGGUGAAAUCCUGGAGCUCAACUCCAGAACUGCCUUUGAUACUGAAGAUCUUGAGUUCGGGAGAGGUGAGUGGAACUGCGAGUGUAGAGGUGAAAUUCGUAGAUAUUCGGAAGAACACCAGUGGCGAAGGCGGCUCACUGGCCCGGUACUGACGCUGAGGAGCGAAAGCGUGGGAGCGAACAGG
rnacentral:rRNA from 1 species